GAAUUUUGGACAAUGGGGGAAACCCUGAUCCAGCCAUGCCGCGUGUGUGAAGAAGGCCUUCGGGUUGUAAAGCACUUUCGGCGGGGACGAAAUGGUCCGUGCUAACACCACGGCCCGAUGACGGUACCCGCAGAAGAAGCACCGGCUAACUACGUUCCAGCAGCCGCGGUAAUACGUAGGGUGCAAGCGUUAAUCGGAAUUACUGGGCGUAAAGCGUGCGUAGGCGGCUUCUUAAGCCAGAUGUGAAAUCCCCGGGCUUAACCUGGGAACUGCAUUUGGGACUGGGAGGCUUGAGUGUGGCAGAGGGGGGUAGAAUUCCCGGUGUAGCAGUGAAAUGCGUAGAUAUCGGGAGGAAUACCGAUGGCGAAGGCAGCCCCCUGGGCUAACACUGACGCUCAGGCACGAAAGCGUGGGGAGCAAACAGG
rnacentral:rRNA from 1 species